rnacentral:rRNA from 1 species
AGGCAAUGGCUUUUAGAGUGGAUACAAAACGCUAUAGAUUUUCACUCUACGAUUAUGGCAGUGGCAAUAUGGCACAUAUGGGAGAAUAGAAAUGCUUACCGUAAUGGUGAGGCUUUAAAUCAUCCUCAUCGUGUGGUGGGAAAGAUCAAAGCUUAUGGUGAAUUAAUUAAUAUGCAUUCUUUCAGCUCGACCACUUCCAUUAGACAUGAGACCUUGGAGUCGAAUCAAAGAUGGUCUCCGCCGCCAGAGGGGUCGAGGCUCGUCAGUGUGGAUGCGGCGAUCUUCUCUCAAUCUGCAAGAGCGGGCUUUGGUGUGGUGAUACAUGAUCAUCGGGGAAUGGUGCAGGUGGCGAACAGAGGCUACUUUGAAAGAGUUCAAAUUCCUGAAGUAGCGGAAGCAAUGGCACUUCGUCAAGCCUUAAUCCUUGCCAAUAGCACCGGUAUCAUGGUAGCAUCUGAUUGUCUAUCAUUGAUAAACAAGAUCAAGGGUUCUGGUUUUGAUAGGUCCCUACUGGAGCCAUAG